rnacentral:lncRNA from 1 species
AUUUCUUCCCAGAAUAGAGAAUCUAGAAAUAGACCCAUGUACAUAUGAGAAAAUGAUAAAAAAAAAAAAGAGAAAAGAUGCUCAACUUUGUUUGUCAUCAGGGAAAUAGAAAUUAAAACAACAAUGAGAUACUACUAUAUACCUAACAGAAAGGCUAAAGCCAAAAAAAAAAAAAACAGAAGAAAAAGAUAAAAAAAAGAAAUCUGACCAUCCCAAGUACUGAUGAGAAUUUGGAACAAUAAGGACUCUCGUUAAUUGCUGGUGGGAA